AUUGAACGCUGGCGGCAGGCUUAACACAUGCAAGUCGAGCGGGGUGAUGGUGCUUGCACUAUCACUUAGCGGCGGACGGGUGAGUAAUGCUUAGGAAUCUGCCUAUUAGUGGGGGACAACAUAUCGAAAGGGAUGCUAAUACCGCAUACGUACUACGGGAGAAAGCAGGGGAUCACUUGUGUCCUUGCGAUAAUAGAUGAGCUUAAGUCGGAUUAGCUAGUUGGUGGGGUAAAGGCCUACCAAGGCAACUAUCUGUAGCGGGUCUGGCAGGAUGAUACGCCACACUGGGACUGAGACACGGCCCAGACUCCUACGGGAGGCAGCAGUGGGGAAUAUGGGACAAUGGGGGGAACCCUAAUCCAGCCAUGCCGCGUGUGUGAAGAAGGCCUUAUGGUUGUAAAGCACUUUAAGCGAGGAGGAGGCUCUUUUGGUUAAUACCCAAGAUGAGUGGACGUUACUCGCAGAGUAAGCACCGGCUAACUCUGUGCCAGCCGCCGCCGUAA
rnacentral:rRNA from 1 species